rnacentral:rRNA from 1 species
GCAUAUCAAUAAGCGGAGGAAAAGAAACCAACCGGGAUUGCCUCAGUAACGGCGAGUGAAGCGGCAAGAGCUCAAAUUUGAAAGCUGGCCCCUUCGGGGUCCGCGUUGUAAUUUGCAGAGGAUGCUUCGGGUGCGGCCCCUGUCUAAGUGCCCCUGGAACGGGCCGUCAGAGAGGGUGAGAAUCCCGUCUUGGGCAGGGUGCCCGUGCCCGUGUGAAGCUCCUUCGACGAGUCGAGUUGUUUGGGAAUGCAGCUCUAAAUGGGUGGUAAAUUUCAUCUAAAGCUAAAUACCGGCCGGAGACCGAUAGCGCACAAGUAGAGUGAUCGAAAGAUGAAAAGCACUUUGAAAAGAGAGUUAAACAGCACGUGAAAUUGUUGAAAGGGAAGCGCUUGCGACCAGACUCGGCCCCGGGGUUCAGCCAGCACUCGUGCUGGUGUACUUCCCCGGGGGCGGGCCAGCGUCGGUUUGGGCGGCCGGUCAAAGGCCCCAGGAAUGUAUCGCCCUCCGGGGUUGUCUUAUAGCCUGGGGUGCAAUGCGGCCAGCCCGGACCGAGGAACGCGCUUCGGCACGGACGCUGGCGUAAUGGUCGCAAACGACCCGUCUUGAAACACGGACCAAGGAGUCUAACAUCUACGCGAGUGUUCGGGUGUCAAACCCGUACGCGCAGUGAAAGCGAACGGAGGUGGGAGCCCCCCCGGGGCGCACCAUCGACCGAUCCUGAUGUCUUCGGAUGGAUUUGAGUAAGAGCGUAGCUGUGGGGACCCGAAAGAUGGUGAACUAUGCCUGAAUAGGGCGAAGCCAGAGGAAACUCUGGUGGAGGCUCGCAGCGGUUCUGACGUGCAAAUCGAUCGUCAAAUUUGGGUAUAGGGGCGAAAGACUAAUCGAACCAUCUGGUAGCUGGUUCCUGCCGAAG